rnacentral:rRNA from 1 species
UACGAAGGUGGCAAGCGUUGUCCGGAAUUAUUGGGCGUAAAGAGCUCGUAGGCGGUCUGUCGCGUCUGCUGUGAAACUCAGGGCUUAACCCUGAGCUUGCAGUGGGUACGGGCAGACUAGAGUGCGGUAGGGGAGCUGGAAUUCCUGGUGUAGCGGUGGAAUGCGCAGAUAUCAGGAGGAACACCGAUGGCGAAGGCAGGU